rnacentral:rRNA from 1 species
AUGAACGCUAGCGGCAGGCUUAAUACAUGCAAGUCGAGGGGCAGCGCGGGUAGCAAUACCUGGCGGCGACCGGCAAACGGGUGCGGAACACGUACGCAACCUUCCCAUAACUGGUGAAUAGCCUUUCGAAAGAGAGAUUAAUACACCGUAACAUAACGAAGAGGCAUCUCUUUGUUAUUAUAGGCUUCGGCCGGUUUUGGAUGGGCGUGCGCCUGAUUAGGUAGUUGGCGGGGUAACGGCCCACCAAGCCUGCGAUCAGUAACUGGUGUGAGAGCACGACCAGUCACACGGGCACUGAGACACGGGCCCGACUCCUACGGGAGGCAGCAGUAAGGAAUAUUGGUCAAUGGACGCAAGUCUGAACCAGCCAUGCCGCGUGAAGGAUGAAGGUCCUCUGGAUUGUAAACUUCUUUUAUCUGGGACGAAAAAAGCUCAUUCUUGAGCACUUGACGGUACCAGAGGAAUAAGCACCGGCUAACUCCGUGCCAGCAGCCGCGGUAAUACGGAGGGUGCAAGCGUUAUCCGGAUUUACUGGGUUUAAAGGGUGCGUAGGUGGAUUUGUAAGUCAGUGGUGAAAUCUCCGAGCUUAACUCGGAAACUGCCAUUGAUACUAUAAGUCUUGAAUUAUCUGGAGGUAAGCGGAAUAUGUCAUGUAGCGGUGAAAUGCUUAGAUAUGACAUAGAACACCAAUUGCGAAGGCAGCUUACUACGGAUUUAUUGACACUGAGGCACGAAAGCGUGGGGAUCAAACAGGAUUAGAUACCCUGGUAGUCCACGCCCUAAACGAUGGAUACUCGACAUACGCGAUAUACUGUGUGUGUCUGAGCGAAAGCAUUUAAGUAUCCCACCCUGGGAAGUACGAUCGAAGAUUGAAACUCAAAGGAAUUGACGGGGUCCGCACAAGCGGUGGAGCAUGUGUU